ACGGAGGUUGCAAGCGUUGUUCGGAAUAACUGGGCGUAAAGGGAGCGCAGGCGGUUAGGUAAGUUCAAAGUGAAAGCCCGGGGCUUAACCUCGGAAGUGCUUUUGAUACUGUCUUACUCGAGUUUGGGAGAGGAAAGCGGAAUUUGAGAUGUAGCGGUGAAAUGCGUAGAUAUCUGGAGGAACACCGAUGGCGAAGGCAGCUUACUGAGGAAUAACUGACGCUCAGGCACGAAAGCGUGGGGAGCAAACAG
rnacentral:rRNA from 1 species